rnacentral:rRNA from 1 species
UACAGAGGUCUCAAGCGUUGUUCGGAUUCAUUGGGCGUAAAGGGUGCGUAGGUGGCGGGGUAAGUCAGGUGUGAAAUCUCGGGGCUCAACCCCGAAACUGCACUUGAUACUGCCUUGCUCGAGUACUGGAGAGGAGAUUGGAAUUUACGGUGUAGCAGUGAAAUGCGUAGAUAUCGUAAGGAAGACCAGUGGCGAAGGCGGGCUACUGGGCCGAUACUGACGCUGAGGCGCGAAAGCCAGGGGAGCAAACGGG